rfam:Triticum aestivum genome assembly, contig: Triticum_aestivum_CS42_TGACv1_scaffold_557798_7AL
AAGGUACUCCCUCCGUUUGGAAAUACUUGUUCCAGAAAUGGAUAAAAUAGAUGUAUCUAUAACUAAAAUAAGUCUAGAUACAACCAUUUCGAGGACAAGUAUUUUCGGACGGAGGGAGUACGUA